AGACCUUUUUGGGGAGACUUCACUGUAGAAGAGGCUAAAUACAUCCUCAAGCAGCCUCCGGGCAACGAUCACUGUGGGUUCUAUGUAAUGCAUUACAUGCACUGCUACACCGGCGAUUGCAGAAGCGCCGAAAUGAACACUGAGUUGGAUUCACGUGAAUUGCUCAUGGGCGAGCUAGUAGCACUUCAAGAAGAACUAGCUGGAUGGCUUGUGGACUACGUGGUGAAGCCAGGAUCUGAGUACAGCAUAAUUUAGGUGUAAUGUCUAGAUCGUAUCGUUCUUGUCAAGCAUUGUAAUAUAUUUGGUGUAUGGACUAGAUGUUCUUAAACUUGAUGCGUGGACUCUAUAUUUUUUAUUAUGAUGUUUGAACUCUCUCAUUUGAUUUCAAUGUAUAAUAUCUUAUGGUUCAAUUCUGCUGUAAUAAUUAUGUAUUAUAAACUCAAGAGGGCCUUGAACUGUUGAAGGCAGCUAUAGAAAAGGCUGGAUACACUGGAAAGGUGGUUAUUGGAAUGGAUGUUGCUGCUUCUGAAUUCUUCAGUGAGAAGGAUAAGACUUAUGAUCUUAAUUUCAAAGAGGAA